UUUCCUUGAAAUUUUAAUUAUUUGCUGUCAUAAAAAAUAGGUGACCACCAAAAGAAAUAGGUUUGAAUUUCCAACCCCUAUGUCACACUUUUGCUUCAUUAUUUUGAAAACCACCAAUAUGUUUCCUCAUAGUUUUUUAUACUAUGCUAUACUUAUUUCAGAUGAAGAUAUAAAUUUAUUCAAAGAAAUAAUGGGACAAUGAAUGCUAAAAUUGCCAAGAAGAAGACUCCAAUUUACACACCAUUUUAUACAGGUUACUGUAUGAUAUGGUGAACAAAACCUCAAUGCAUUCAGUUCUGGAGCUUUGGCUAGACUAUGAACAGUAGACAUCAAAAGAUGGUCAUCUGAAGGGCCACAAUUGUUUAAAGCACUGGUCAACAAAAACUGAACUAUUUGAUGGAUCAUACAUCUGCAGAAUGUACUACCAUAUUUCCAGAAUCAGAGAAAUAGAAAUAUCAAGUAUUAGAGAGGAAGAAAAGUAUGCAUCAUGAAUGAAGAACUGCCUAAGAAUAAUUUGCAAAAUACAUUGAAAUCUAACAAUUGCUGAUUGCAUAAGAAAGUUAAGAAAGGUGUACUCUUCUGGAAAAUAUGUGUCCAGUGCAACAUUUCUUUUCCAAUUUUGUGAGCAUAGUUCUGAAUAAAAAGUGCAACAUGGCUACAGGGAUAAUACAAAAGGUUUAAUCUUAUUUCCAAACACAUUGGGGGAAUCAGAGAAGAAAUAUCAAGAAUUAGGGAAAAAGAAAUAAUUGUCAUGAAUGAAGAACUUGCUUUUUAUUAAUUUACAAAAUACUUUU
rnacentral:lncRNA from 1 species